GCCUGUGCUGGAGCCCCAGGCGGCCACAAGGCAGCGUGACAGCCACCGCUCUGUGAGGAAGCCCAAGCCACAUGGAGAGGCCUGGGGCGGGUGCUCCAGCCAGCGUCCCAGCCAUGCUCAGGGCAGACGUGAGAGAAGCAGCCUCAGAUGACCCCAGCCCCAGCCCUGAGUCACCCCAAGCCCGUCAUCUUCCCAGCUGAGACCCCAGAUGUCAUGGGGCAGAAACAACCGUCCCACGGUGCCCACCUACAGAACCCAUCGGCCCAGAGAAGUGGUUGUUUCCACCGCUGGAAAAGAAACCAAGGCACCCUCGCCAGCUCAGGUGUGGAGAGUGCCCACAGCAAACAGGAUGUGUGAACAAGACGCAACACUAAAAUAUCUGCAAAUAAAAUGACAUCACCUGUGGGACAUGCCUAGUAACAGGCAUGGGUGAGGCCGGGGCAGUGAGACACCAGGAACAGACAGCUGCGAAGCUGGAGACAGGAACCCAAAGGUUCUGCCAACCUUUGUAACAUUUAAAGUUUUACACAAUUAGAUGUUUUGUAAACAGUGGUAGCACUAUAAUGGAAAAGAACCUGAGAAAAAAUAUGUGUGUGUGUGUGUGUGUGUGUGUGUGUAUCUGACUCACGUUGCUGUACACCUGAAACUAACACAACAUUGUAAAUCAACUAUACUUCGAUUUUAUAAAAUGGCUUUAAAACA